AUAAGCACAAGAAGUCCAUCCAAAAAUCAAGGAGUGUGAAGCAGUUCACAGGCAAAAAUUCGAAAGACUAGAUUGAAAG
rnacentral:ribozyme from 1 species